AUCCGGAUAGCUCAGUGGUCUAAAGCAAUUGCCCGGAAAGCGAAAGGCUCGGGUUUAAUUCCCGAUCCAUUUA
rnacentral:tRNA from 1 species